rnacentral:piRNA from 1 species
UAAAAAGCAAAGACAAUGGUCUCUGUCUUC